rnacentral:rRNA from 1 species
GAUCAUGGCUCAGGAUGAACGCUAGCGACAGGCUCAACACAUGCAAGUCGAGGGGCAGCGAGGGAGUGGCAACACUUCCGUCGGCGACCGGCGCACGGGUGAGUAACGCGUAUGCAACCUGCCCUUCACAGGGGGGAUAACCGGGAGAAAUUCCGACUAAUACCGCAUACGUCCUCCGGGGGCAUCCCCGGGGGAUGAAAGAAUUAUCGGUGAAGGAUGGGCAUGCGCGAUAUUAGGUAGUUGGCGGGG